GGGGUUGUAGCUCAAUGGUAGAGCACUCACCUCACAUGUGGAAGGUAGUGGGUUUGAUUCUCAGCACCA
rnacentral:tRNA from 1 species